GGUGCUGGUAGAGUGUGGAGCGUACGGGGACUGGAUGGGGCGCACACCGUAGCUGCGAGAUGAGGCUCCGCUGGCCGCGAUGCGCAGGCAAGCUUAAGCUGCACGGGUGUUUUCUGACUCAGCCACUAUAGGUGCUGUGAGCCGAGUAUUUGGGAACCUCUAAAUGAGACAGUAAGCUCCUUGCCUUCUGCAGCACUGUACUAUCUUCACAGACUGACAUGAGGUGUGGCACAUAGUAGGCCUCGGACAGGAGGCUGGAAACAGAGUAUUUAUAUUGUGGUAUCGAGGAGAAAUGCUUCUUUUUCAAGAAACCUAUCUUUGUUCCUGUGUUGUUUCCUUAUAAUAAACCA